rnacentral:rRNA from 1 species
ACGCGAGCUGGGUUCAGAACGUCGUGAGACAGUUCGGUCCCUAUCCGUCGCAGGCGUAGGAAAUUUGAGAAGACCUGUCCUUAGUACGAGAGGACCGGGAUGGACGUACCUCUGGUGUACCAGUUGUCCUGCCAAGGGCAUGGCUGGGUAGCUAUGUACGGAAUGGAUAAGCGCUGAAAGCAUCUAAGCGCGAAGCCAACUUCAAGAUAAGAUUUCCCACCGCAAGGGUAAGACCCCAGAAAGACUAUCUGGUUG